GAAAAGAACUUUGAAAAGAGAGUUAAACAGUACGUGAAAUUGUUGAUAGGGAAACGAUUGAAGUCAGUCAUGCCGGCGAGAAAUCAGCCUACAGGCUACUGUGGGUGCACUUUUUUGCAAGGCAGGUUAACAUCGAUUUUGAUCGUCAUAAAAUGAUUGGAGGAAUGUAGCUUUGAUUUCGAUCGAAGUGUUAUAGCCUUUGGUAUAUGUGACGAUUGGGAUCGAGGAUUGCAACGAAUACCCUUUGGGCUAUCCGUCUGGCCUCUGAAAGUCGCUUGGGUGUCGAAAGCGUGCUUAUGG
rnacentral:misc_RNA from 1 species